CCGCAAAAGGGAUAGUAAUGAACAUCCUUUUUUUGCUUUGAUAUAUGGCAAAAAAAGAUGGCAAUGCAUAGCCCGGGCCGCA
rnacentral:sRNA from 2 species